rnacentral:lncRNA from 1 species
UUAAAUACAUAAUCACUUAUAGUAUAAUAUAAUAUUAUAUGAUUUACGCUAUUUUACUAUACGUAGUAUAGUAAACCGUCAAAAAUCAAAACACAUACCGUAGAUCCUAAAAUCUACAAUAAGAAUUUGAUAGUGAUCGGGAGUUCAAUCUAGGGAAGAAAUAACGUGGGCAACGAUAUCCUCAGAACACAACGAUAUAAUCAGGUCUGAAUCGUCGAAAAUGAACUAUAUUUGUAGGUCGAAUAUCAUAGAGAUAUCAGGAGAAGGAAGGAUGGUGACUGA